rnacentral:rRNA from 1 species
AGUGAACGCUGGCGGUAGGCCUAACACAUGCAAGUCGAACGGCAGCACAGUAAGAGCUUGCUCUUACGGGUGGCGAGUGGCGGACGGGUGAGGAAUACAUCGGAAUCUACUUUUUCGUGGGGGAUAACGUAGGGAAACUUACGCUAAUACCGCAUACGACCUACGGGUGAAAGCAGGGGAUCUUCGGACCUUGCGCGAUUGAAUGAGCCGAUGUCGGAUUAGCUAGUUGGCGGGGUAAAGGCCCACCAAGGCGACGAUCCGUAGCUGGUCUGAGAGGAUGAUCAGCCACACCUGAACUUGAGACAGGUCCCGACUCCUAAGGGAAGCAAGCGUUGGGAAAUUUGGACAAUGGGCGCAAGCCUGAUCCAGCCAUACCGCGUGGGUGAAGAAGGCCUUCGGGUUGUAAAGCCCUUUUGUUGGGAAAGAAAAGCAGCAGGUUAAUACCCCGCUGUUCUGACGGUACCCAAAGAAUAAGCACCGGCUAACUUCGUG